rnacentral:rRNA from 1 species
UGGGUGAGUAACACGUGCUUAGUCUACCUUUUAGAUUGGAAUACCCAUUGGAAACAAUGGCUAAUGCCGGAUACGCAUGGAACCGCAUGGUUCCGUUGUGAAAGGCGCUGUAAGGCGCCACUAAAAGAUGAGGGUGCGGAACAUUAGUUAGUUGGUGAGGUAAUGGCCCACCAAGACUAUGAUGUUUAGCCGGGUCGAGAGACUGAACGGCCACAUUGGGACUGAGAUACGGCCCAGACUCCUACGGGAGGCAGCAGCC